UCUUAUGGUCAUACCACCCUGAUCGUGCCCAAUCUCGUCUGAUCUCAGAAGCUAAGCAGGGUUGGGCCUAGUUAGUACUUGGAUGGGAGACAUGUAUAUGUUUAAUUCACCUUUAUCU
ensembl:rRNA 5S_rRNA 5S ribosomal RNA